GCCCCUAUAGCUCAGUGGUAGAGCGCGUCACUCGUAUUCCUAUCGUGCGAUAUGACGAGGUCCAUCGUUCAAUCCGGUGUGGGGGCA
rnacentral:tRNA from 1 species